GUGCUCACUUUGGCAGCACAUGUACUAAAAUUGGAACGACACAGAGAUUAGCAUGGCCCCUGUGCGAGGAUGACACGCAAAUUCGUGAAACGUUUCAUGUUUAA